UACAGAGGUGGCAAGCGUUGUUCGGAAUUACUGGGCGUAAAGGGCGCGUAGGCGGCCAUCUAAGUCAGAUGUGAAAUCCCCCGGCUCAACCUGGGAACUGCGUCUGAUACUGGAAGGCUCGAGUUUGGGAGAGGGAUGUAGAAUUCCAGGUGUAGCGGUGAAAUGCGUAGAUAUUGGGAAGAACACCGGUGGCGAAGGCGGCCAUCUGGACCGGCACUGACGCUGAGGCGCGAAAGCGUGGGGAGCAAACAGG
rnacentral:rRNA from 1 species